rnacentral:rRNA from 1 species
CUACGGGAGGCUCCAGUGAGGAAUAUUGCACAAUGGGGGGAACCCUGAUGCAGCAACGCCGCGUGGAGGAUGACGCAUUUCGGUGUGUAAACUCCUUUUAUAUGUCAAGAAAAUGACGGUAGCAUAUGAAUAAGCACCGGCUAACUCCGUGCCAGCAGCCGCGGUAAUACGGAGGGUGCAAGCGUUACUCGGAAUCACUGGGCGUAAAGGACGCGUAGGCGGGUUGGAAAGUCAGUUGUGAAAUCCUACAGCUUAACUGUAGAGCUGCACUUGAAACUUCUAAUCUAGAGUAUGGGAGGGGGAGAUGGAAUUAGUGGUGUAGGGGUAAAAUCCGUAGAUAUCACUAGGAAUACCUAAAGCGAAGGCGAUCUCCUGGAACAUUACUGACGCUAAGGCGUGAAAGCGUGGGGAGCAAACAGGAUUAGAUACCCCAGUAGUC